rnacentral:lncRNA from 1 species
ACUGCUUUUGUGAGGUGCAGAUUCGUGCUUCCCCCAGGGCUCACAAUGGCACAGAAUCAGACAGCAGGAUGGAAACUGAAUGGGUGAGAGGCAAGCUGAAGCAAGGUGGGGCCAUGCGGGCCCCAGAGCAGGCCUCAGGCCUGGGCCUCUCAGACUGGAGGGCUGCAUACGUCUCUGAGAUGCCCUGGGAUAAACUUGGGCCAUCUUUUAGCCUCCCCAGUGGCAUCAAGUUCUUCUGACUCCAGGAAGGGGUAGAACAAAAUGUAGAAAACCACAGCCCUGAAAUUUUGAGUCGAUGCCAGAGGAAGCCUGUUUCUCAAACCAAUGCCAAUCAUACCUUAAGGAAACAAUGUUCAAGGAAUUCUAGAACACACCUGAGGCCUCCAGUUUGGAAAACGCUGGUUUAAGAAUCGAAAGCUUAGAGUUCAAAAGGAUUCUGUGAUGAAUUAACAGCACAGUUUACUCUCCAAGUGAGAUGAUCCAAUCAGACAGGUCAUUCAGAACACAGGCACGUGAUUUGGACAGGUUCACCUUCCUGGGCCUCUGUAACCCCUGCCUAUGGAGUAAUAAUUGUGGAAGGGGGUGGAGUGGAAGGGAGCAGGAGAAGGGCUCUGCUUCCCUGGUGCAUAAUGGUC